rnacentral:rRNA from 1 species
AACGAACGCUGGCGGCAUGCCUAACACAUGCAAGUCGAACGAGACCUUCGGGUCUAGUGGCGCACGGGUGCGUAACGCGUGGGAAUCUACCCUUGGGUUCGGAAUAACAGUUAGAAAUGACUGCUAAUACCGGAUGAUGACGUAAGUCCGAAGAUUUAUCGCCCAAGGAUGAGCCCGCGUAAGAUUAGCUUGUUGGUGGGGUAAUGGCCUACCAAGGCGACGAUCUUUAGCUGGUCUGAGAGGAUGAUCAGCCACACUGGGACUGAGACACGGCCCAGACUCCUACGGGAGGCAGCAGUGGGGAAUAUUGGACAAUGGGCGAAAGCCUGAUCCAGCAAUGCCGCGUGAGUGAUGAAGGCUUUAGGGUUGUAAAGCUCUUUUACCAGGGAUGAUAAUGACAGUACCUGGAGAAUAAGCUCCGGCUAACUCCGUGCCAGCAGCCGCCGUAA